GCGGGGAUGGCCCAGCUCGGUACGGCGCAGGAUUGCUAAUCCUGUGGUCUUUGACCACGCGAGUUCAAAUCUCGCUCCCCGCG
rnacentral:tRNA from 2 species